rnacentral:rRNA from 1 species
UACGUAGGGGGCAAGCGUUGUCCGGAAUCAUUGGGCGUAAAGCGCGUGUAGGCGGCUCGAUAAGUCUGCUGUGAAAGUCCAAGGCUCAACCUUGGGAUGCCGGUGGAUACUGUCGAGCUCGAGUCUGGAAGAGGAGUGUGGAAUUCCUGGUGUAGCGGUGAAAUGCGCAGAUAUCAGGAGGAACACCAAUGGCGAAGGCAGCACUCUGGGACGUGACUGACGCUGAGACGCGAAAGCGUGGGGAGCAAACAGG